rnacentral:rRNA from 1 species
AGUGAACGCUGGCGGCAGGCCUAACACAUGCAAGUCGAGCGGCAGCGCGGGGGCAACCCUGGCGGCGAGCGGCGGACGGGUGAGGAAUUCGUCGGAAUCUGCCUUUUUGUGGGGGAUAACGUAGGGAAACUUACGCUAAUACCGCAUACGUCCUACGGGAGAAAGUGGGGGACCGCAAGGCCUCACGCAGAAAGAUGAGCCGACGACCGAUUAGCUAGUUGGUGGGGUAAAGGCCCACCAAGGCGACGAUCGGUAGCUGGUCUGAGAGGAUGAUCAGCCACACUGGGGCUGAGACACGGCCCAGACUCCUACGGGAGGCAGCAGUGGGGAAUAUUGGACAAGGGGCGCAAGCCUGAUCCAGCCAUGCCGCGUGUGUGAAGAAGGCCUUCGGGUUGUAAAGCACUUUUGUCCGGAAAGAAAUCCCUGGAGCUAAUACCUUCGGGGGAUGACGGUACCGGAAGAAUAAGCACCGGCUAACUUCGUG